AAAAGCACUCACAAAGUCUCAUGCAAAGUCUUCAGCAAGCGGCGAAUCUCUACCAUGUAGAAUGGCUACACAAAACAGAAUCACGCCAAUUUUGAGCCAGUGCGAAGUCUGAAAGUUGUGGGUAAUUUGCCCCCAAAGUUGCGGACAUAAAAUCCAUGUUGUCGGAGGUGGAAGAAAGACUGAUUGAAUGCUUGCCAUCCAAAUGUCCUAUUUGCUUAUGUUUUGACGAAGAAGUUGAUCGCUUCUUAGAAGAUUUUUUUGAGCAUCAUCAAGCAUUCGUGGCGUUUUUGUGAGAGAUGGUCAACGUGACAACCGUCACAGUCUUUUGCCACAAAUUGCAGAAUUGCAGACACUAAAGAUAAUGAAAAGGCGUUAAAGGUAUUGUUGAUGCUACUAAUUUCAUAAUUGCCACUUGGCAUUUCUGUCAUUGAAGUAUGCAAUGUAAUAGUAAAAACAGGUUUGUAGAUGAAAACCAAGAUAAAAUAACUGAUUUGGGCAAUGUGUACUGACCCGAAAUUUGCCCUUACUUCAAAAUUUAUUGAGGAAGCUCAUAACGACAUUUGUGCCAGAAAAGUUUAAUUUAGCCUUGCUUUAUCUGAGAACAAUUUAUACGUUGUAUCAUUCAAGGUUACCCAGGACCAGUGCAUAGCGUAGC